rnacentral:rRNA from 1 species
UUACGGUCAAAUCACACUGAAAACACCGGUUCUCGUUCGAUCACCGAAGUUAAGCAUCGUAGAGCCAGGUCAGUACUUAGAUGGGGGACCGCUUGGGAACACCUGGUACUGUAAG